GAUGAACGCUGGCGGCGUGCCUAAUACAUGCAAGUCGAGCGAACAGAUGAGGAGCUUGCUCCUCUGACGUUAGCGGCGGACGGGUGAGUAACACGUGGAUAACCUACCUAUAUGACUGGGAUAACUUCGGGAAACCGGAGCUAACACCGGAUAAUAUAUUGAACCGCAUGGUUCAAUAGUGAAAGUCGGUUUUUGUGUAUGUAAUAGAGGGUUCCGCGCUGCUUUAGCUAGUUGGUAAGGUCACGGCUUUCCACGGCAAGGAUGGGUGGCCGACGUGAGAGAGUGAUCGGCCACACUGGAACUGGAACACGGUCCAGACUACUACGGGAGGCAGCAGUAGGGAAUCGGCCGCAAUGGGCGAGAGCCUGACGGAGCAACGCCGCGUGAGUGAUGAAGGUCUUCCGAUCGUAAAGCUCUGUUAUUAGGGAAGAACAAAUGUGGAAGUAACUAUGGACGUCUUGACGGUACCUAAUCAGAAAGCCACGGCUAACUACGUG
rnacentral:rRNA from 1 species